GACGAACGCUGGCGGCGUGCUUAACACAUGCAAGUCGAACGGAAAGGCCCUGCUUUUGUGUGGUGCUCGAGUGGCGAACGGGUGAGUAACACGUGAGUAACCUGCCCUUGACUUUGGGAUAACUUCAGGAAACUGGGGCUAAUACCGGAUAGGAGCUCCUGCUGCAUGGUGGGGGUUGGAAAGUUUCGGCGGUUGGGGAUGGACUCGCGGCUUAUCAGCUUGUUGGUGGGGUAGUGGCUUACCAAGGCUUUGACGGGUAGCCGGCCUGAGAGGGUGACCGGCCACAUUGGGACUGAGAUACGGCACAGACUCCUACGGGAGGCAGCAGUGGGGAAUAUUGCACAAUGGGCGGAAGCCUGAUGCAGCAACGCCGCGUGCGGGAUGACGGCCUUCGGGUUGUAAACCGCUUUCGCCUGUGACGAAGCGUGAGUGACGGUAAUGGGUAAAGAAGCACCGGCUAACUACGUG
rnacentral:rRNA from 1 species